rnacentral:misc_RNA from 1 species
UCUCCGCCCGACGCCCUCUGUGGGCGUGGGGUGGACUCCAGGCAAGCUUCGUGUUUCCUGGCAUGCCUCGCCCAGCUGCGUGGGCUGCCUAGGCGCACGGCGUUGUUGCCCGUUCUCUCGGAUGCGGAAUGUGAUGCGCGGGUGCGGGGGUCUCGGCCCUCCGCUAGCCCGAGCUAUGCAUUUGUCCCUCGUAAAAACGAACGACGGUCGCGCCCGUCUUGACCCCGCGGCCCUUCGGGGCCGACUGGGCUCAUGCGGGCGUCCA